GAAAGGAGGAAAAACAAAAGACGAGAGAAGAAAUUCACUGAAACAUCACUUGAUGAUUGCACAAAAACUCAGAUCUGACAAACCGUACACCUUGCACAAAGCUUUGGACCUCAUUACAGCACCAGUUGAAGAUGGAGGUUUGGUCCACUCAUCUGGUCUGGGUUCUGCCAACUUCAUUGAAGGGAUAGAUCUUUGCCAUGAAAUGGGUAGCAGUCGAUGAACCGGUUUUUGAACUGCUGCAGUAUCCAGAUUUUGAAGCAAUUCACCCGAUGGUCCACUGGCUUGAGAUCGGUGUGUUGCGUGGCCUCUUAACUUAAGAAAACCUCCGUAUUAUGGGUCAAGUUAUUAAUCAACUGCAACAAGAUGAUGAUGAGGAGGACAAUUUUCAGAAGGAUGAGGCUGAUGAGAAAGAGGCUGAUGUUCCAGCAGCAGGCAUAGAAAUAAAUCCACCUCAAGUUGAAGAACCCUGGCUCAAUAACAGAGCAGAGAUCCCAGCAGGAGAAAUGGAAAUAAACCCAGCCCAACAAGCUGAAGAUCCCAUAGCUGAAGAAAUGAGGUCAUUCUGGGAUAACGAGGAGGCUGAGUGACAGCGACAGUGUCCCUGAGAGUGGUCCUGACAGUGACACCGAUCACAGUGACACUGACGACAGCGACAGUGAUGAUGAUGGAGCCAAGGGUGGAGGAGAAUGAUGAAGAGGAAGAUGGGAGACCUAGAAAACAAUCCAAACACUGAAUUUUGCUCCUGGACACUCAGUGUUGCACCCAUCCUCCAAACCCACAGUCCCCCGUCCUAACAAACUGUAUCUCGGCUUUCCCCCUCUGAUGCACUGACUUAGUUUCCUGCCACCAGCGACCUGUUCACCUGACUGCCACGUACCACCUGUGGAUAUUUGUUCAGCCUGUGACCCACUAUGAUUGUGCUUACAAGUGGAAUGCAACAAGUGUGUGUUUCAUACCACUGGUACCUUGUUAGGUGGUGAUGAUCGUGCUCUUACUGGUCGCAGUUAUGGAGGGAGUGGUCCUAUUGGUUGGCUCCCACAUUAGGAAGGCGGGGUUGGGGCCUUCCUAUUAUCAUUAUGCCAACAUUAUUAAUAUGGUAUAGUCUUCCUCCCCUUUUUCCUUCCUGCUGUCACCAAAUGCUUGCUCAUCGGGGCUCAAACUCAUCAGCAACCAGCUGCAGAGGAGCUUGCAUCCACUAAAAGCAGCAGGAACAAAGUCAGGAAACAAAUGCUCCGAAGGAAAAAGUGAAAAACCUCAAAGCAAACAGACACUCAAAGAAAGGAAGACGAAGAAGAGAAAGGAAAGGAGGAAAAACAAAAGACGAGAGAAGAAAUUCACUGAAACAUCACUUGAUGAUUGCACAAAAACUCAGAUCUGACAAACCGUACACCUUGCACAAAGCUUUGGACCUCAUUACAGCACCAGUUGAAGAUGGAGGUUUGGUCCACUCAUCUGGUCUGGGUUCUGCCAACUUCAUUGAAGGGAUAGAUCUUUGCCAUGAAAUGGGUAGCAGUCGAUGAACCGGUUUUUGAACUGCUGCAGUAUCCAGAUUUUGAAGCAAUUCACCCGAUGGUCCACUGGCUUGAGAUCGGUGUGUUGCGUGGCCUCUUAACUUAAGAAAACCUCCGUAUUAUGGGUCAAGUUAUUAAUCAACUGCAACAAGAUGAUGAUGAGGAGGACAAUUUUCAGAAGGAUGAGGCUGAUGAGAAAGAGGCUGAUGUUCCAGCAGCAGGCAUAGAAAUAAAUCCACCUCAAGUUGAAGAACCCUGGCUCAAUAACAGAGCAGAGAUCCCAGCAGGAGAAAUGGAAAUAAACCCAGCCCAACAAGCUGAAGAUCCCAUAGCUGAAGAAAUGAGGUCAUUCUGGGAUAACGAGGAGGCUGAGUGACAGCGACAGUGUCCCUGAGAGUGGUCCUGACAGUGACACCGAUCACAGUGACACUGACGACAGCGACAGUGAUGAUGAUGGAGCCAAGGGUGGAGGAGAAUGAUGAAGAGGAAGAUGGGAGACCCAGAAAACAAUCCAAACACUGAAUUUUGCUCCUGGACACUCAGUGUUGCACCCAUCCUCCAAACCCACAGUCCCCCGUCCUAACAAACUGUAUCUCGGCUUUCCCCUCUGAUGCACUGACUUAGUUUCCUGCCACCAGCGACCUGUUCACCUGACUGCCACGUACCACCUGUGGAUAUUUGUUCAGCCUGUGACCCACUAUGAUUGUGCUUACAAGUGGAAUGCAACAAGUGUGUGUUUCAUACCACUGGUACCUUGUUAGGUGGUGAUGAUCGUGCUCUUACUGGUCGCAGUUAUGGAGGGAGUGGUCCUAUUGGUUGGCUCCCACAUUAGGAAGGCGGGGUUGGGGCCUUCCUAUUAUCAUUAUGCCAACAUUAUUAAUAUGGUAUAGUCUUCCUCCCCUUUUUCCUUCCUGCUGUCACCAAAUGCUUGCUCAUCGGGGCUCAAACUCAUCAGCAACCAGCUGCAGAGGAGCUUGCAUCCACUAAAAGCAGCAGGAACAAAGUCAGGAAACAAAUGCUCCGAAGGAAAAAGUGAAAAACCUCAAAGCAAACAGACACUCAAAGAAAGGAAGACGAAGAAGAGAAAGGAAAGGAGGAAAAACAAAAGACGAGAGAAGAAAUUCACUGAAACAUCACUUGAUGAUUGCACAAAAACUCAGAUCUGACAAACCGUACACCUUGCACAAAGCUUUGGACCUCAUUACAGCACCAGUUGAAGAUGGAGGUUUGGUCCACUCAUCUGGUCUGGGUUCUGCCAACUUCAUUGAAGGGAUAGAUCUUUGCCAUGAAAUGGGUAGCAGUCGAUGAACCGGUUUUUGAACUGCUGCAGUAUCCAGAUUUUGAAGCAAUUCACCCGAUGGUCCACUGGCUUGAGAUCGGUGUGUUGCGUGGCCUCUUAACUUAAGAAAACCUCCGUAUUAUGGGUCAAGUUAUUAAUCAACUGCAACAAGAUGAUGAUGAGGAGGACAAUUUUCAGAAGGAUGAGGCUGAUGAGAAAGAGGCUGAUGUUCCAGCAGCAGGCAUAGAAAUAAAUCCACCUCAAGUUGAAGAACCCUGGCUCAAUAACAGAGCAGAGAUCCCAGCAGGAGAAAUGGAAAUAAACCCAGCCCAACAAGCUGAAGAUCCCAUAGCUGAAGAAAUGAGGUCAUUCUGGGAUAACGAGGAGGCUGAGUGACAGCGACAGUGUCCCUGAGAGUGGUCCUGACAGUGACACCGAUCACAGUGACACUGACGACAGCGACAGUGAUGAUGAUGGAGCCAAGGGUGGAGGAGAAUGAUGAAGAGGAAGAUGGGAGACCCAGAAAACAAUCCAAACACUGAAUUUUGCUCCUGGACACUCAGUGUUGCACCCAUCCUCCAAACCCACAGUCCCCCGUCCUAACAAACUGUAUCUCGGCUUUCCCCCUCUGAUGCACUGACUUAGUUUCCUGCCACCAGCGACCUGUUCACCUGACUGCCACGUACCACCUGUGGAUAUUUGUUCAGCCUGUGACCCACUAUGAUUGUGCUUACAAGUGGAAUG